rnacentral:rRNA from 1 species
AUCGAACGCUGGCGGCAGGCCUAACACAUGCAAGUCGAGCGAGCGGCGGACGGGUGAGUAAUGCCUAGGAAUCAGCCUGGUAGUGGGGGACCACUACUGGAAACGGUAGCCAAUACCGCAUACCAUCAGAUGUGUUUCGAUGGGAGUAGCUAGUAGGUGGGGUAACGGCUCACCUAGGCGACGAUCCCUCGCUGGUCUGAGAGGAUGACCAGCCACACUGGAACUGAGACACGGUCCAGACUCCUACGGGAGGCAGCAGUAGGGAAUAUUGCACAAUGGACGCAAGCCUGAUGCAGCCAUGCCGCGUGUGUGAAGAAGGCCUUCGGGUUGUAAAGCACUUUCAGCGGGGAGGCGUUACCCGCAGAAGAAGCACCGGCUAACUCCGUGCCAGCAGCCGCGGUAAUAC